UACGGAGGGUGCAAGCGUUAUCCGGAUUCACUGGGUUUAAAGGGUGCGUAGGCGGGCAGGUAAGUCAGUGGUGAAAUCUUUGGGCUUAACCCGAAAACUGCCAUUGAUACUAUCUGUCUUGAAUAUUGUGGAGGUUAGCGGAAUAUGUCAUGUAGCGGUGAAAUGCUUAGAUAUGACAUAGAACACCAAUUGCGAAGGCAGCUAACUACACACAUAUUGACGCUGAGGCACGAAAGCGUGGGGAUCAAACCGG
rnacentral:rRNA from 1 species